ACCCGCGUACAUGCCACCGGGGCAUCCCGGAGGCAGAAAAGCUUUCGGCCGGACAGGGAUGGGCAUGCGGCGCAUUAGGCAGUAGGCGGGGUAACGGCCCACCUAACCGACGAUGCGUAGGGGUUCUGAGAGGAAGGUCCCCCACACUGGUACUGAGACACGGACCAGACUCCUACGGGAGGCAGCAGUGAGGAAUAUUGGUCAAUGGUCGGGAGACUGAACCAGCCAAGCCGCGUGAGGGAUGAAGGUACAGAGUAUCGUAAACCUCUUUUGUCAGGGAACAAAGGCGGGGACGUGUCCCCGGAUGAGUGUACCUGAAGAAAAAGCAUCGGCUAACUCCGUGCCAGCAGCCGCGGUAAUACGGAGGAUGCGAGCGUUAUCCGGAUUUAUUGGGUUUAAAGGGUGCGCAGGCGGUCUGUUAAGUCAGCGGUCAAAGCCCGGGGCUCAACCCCGGCCCGCCGUUGAAACUGGCAGUCUCGAGUUGGAGAGAAGUAUGCGGAAUGCGCGGUGUAGCGGUGAAAUGCAUAGAUAUCGCGCAGAACUCCGAUUGCGAAGGCAGCAUGCCGGCUCCACACUGACGCUGAGGCACGAAAGCGUGGGUAUCGAACAGGAUUAGAUACCCUGGUAGUCCACGCAGUAAACGAU
rnacentral:rRNA from 1 species